rnacentral:rRNA from 1 species
GAUGAACGCUGGCGGCGUGCCUAAUACAUGCAAGUCGAGCGAACAGAUGAGGAGCUUGCUCUUCUGACGUUAGCGGCGGACGGGUGAGUAACACGGGGAUAACCUACCUAUAAGUCUGGGAUAACUUCGGGAAACCGGAGCUAAUACCGGAUAAUAUAUUGAACCGCAUUGUUCAAUAGUGAAAGACGGUUUUGCUGUCACUUAUAGCUGGAUCCGCGCCGCAUUAGCUAGUUGGUAAGGUAACGGCUUACCAAGGCAACGAUGCGUAGCCGACCUGAGAGGGUGAUCGGCAACACUGGAACUGAGACACGGUCCAGACUCCUACGGGAGGCAGCAGUAGGGAAUCUUCCGCAAUGGGCGAAAGCCUGACGGAGCAACGCCGCGUGAGUGAUGAAGGUCUUCGGAUCGUAAAACUCUGUUAUUAGGGAAGAACAAAUGUGUAAGUAACUAUGCACGUCUUGACGGUACCUAAUCAGAAAGCCACGGCUAACUACGUG